rnacentral:rRNA from 1 species
UACGUAGGUGGCAAGCGUUGUCCGGAUUUACUGGGUGUAAAGGGCGUGUAGGCGGGGAUGCAAGUCAGAUGUGAAAUUCCGGGGCUCAGCCCCGGCGCUGCAUCUGAAACUGUAUCUCUUGAGUGCUGGAGAGGAAAGCGGAAUUCCUAGUGUAGCGGUGAAACGCGUAGAUAUUAGGAGGAACACCAGUGGCGAGGGCGGCUUUCUGGACAGUAACUGACGCUGAGGCGCGAAAGCGUGGGGAGCGAACAGGAUUAGAUA